GGCACCACCGGCGGACGGCUCAGUAACACGUCGGUAACCUACCCUCGGGAGGGGGAUAACCCCGGGAAACUGGGGCUAAUUCCCCAUAGGCCUGAGGUACUGGAAGGUCCUCAGGCCGAAAGGGACUUAUGUCCGCCCGAGGAUGGGCCGGCGGCCGAUUAGGUAGUUGGUGGGGUAAUGGCCCACCAAGCCGAAGAUCGGUACGGGCUGUGAGAGCAGGAGCCCGGAGAUGGACACUGAGACACGGGUCCAGGCCCUACGGGGCGCAGCAGGCGCGAAACCUCCGCAAUGCGGGAAACCGCGACGGGGGGACCCCGAGUGCCGUGGCAACGCCACGGCUUUUCCGGAGUGUAAAAAGCUCCGGGAAUAAGGGCUGGGCAAGGCCGGUGGCAGCCGCCGCGGUAAUACCGGCGGCCCGAGUGGUGGCCGCUAUUAUUGGGCCUAAAGCGUCCGUAGCCGGGCCCGUAAGUCCCUGGCGAAAUCCCACGGCUCAACCGUGGGGCUUGCUGGGGAUACUGCGGGUCUUGGGACCGGGAGAGGCGGGGGGUACCCCUGGGGUAGGGGUGAAAUCCUAUAAUCCCAGGGGGACCGCCAGUGGCG
rnacentral:rRNA from 1 species